AUGUCUCCGCGGUGAAAGAUCCGUCGGUCCGGGAUGGGCAUGCGGCGCAUUAGCUUGUUGGCGGGGCAACGGCCCACCAAGGCGACGAUGCGUAGGGGUUCUGAGAGGAAGGUCCCCCACACUGGUACUGAGACACGGACCAGACUCCUACGGGAGGCAGCAGUGAGGAAUAUUGGUCAAUGGACGCGAGUCUGAACCAGCCAAGUCGCGUGCGGGAUGAAGGCCCUCCGGGUCGUAAACCGCUUUAGCCGGGGAGUAACGUGCGGGUCGUGACCCGCAGUGAGAGUACCCGGAGAAUAAGCAUCGGCUAACUCCGUGCCAGCAGCCGCGGUAAUACGGAGGAUGCGAGCGUUAUCCGGAUUUAUUGGGUUUAAAGGGUGCGCAGGCGGCCUGUCAAGUCAGCGGUCAAAUUUCGGCGCUCAACGCCGUACCGCCGUUGAAACUGGCAGUCUCGAGUGCGUGGGAGGAUGGCGGAAUGCGCGGUGUAGCGGUGAAAUGCAUAGAUAUCGCGCAGAACCCCGAUUGCGAAGGCAGCUGUCCAUCACGCCACUGACGCUCAUGCACGAAAGCGUGGGUAUCG
rnacentral:rRNA from 1 species